rnacentral:rRNA from 1 species
UACGUAGGGUGCAAGCGUUGUCCGGAAUCAUUGGGCGUAAAGCGCGCGUAGGUGGUCAUGUAAGUCCGCUGUGAAAGUCAAAGGCUCAACCUUUGAAAGCCGGUGGAUACUGCAUGACUAGAGUACGGAAGAGGCGAGUGGAAUUCCUGGUGUAGCGGUGGAAUCCGCAGAUAUCAGGAGGAACACCAAUAGCGAAGGCAGCUCGCUGGGACGUUACUGACACUGAGGCGCGAAAGCGUGGGGAGCGAACAGG